GGCCUAUGAUUUAGAACAUUUGUCCGUACCAUCUGAGAAGUAUUUCGAUGGAGUAUACAAUCAAAUUCUACAUUCUGAGGCCU